rnacentral:rRNA from 1 species
UACGGAGGGUGCGAGCGUUGUCCGGAAUCACUGGGCGUAAAGGGCGCGUAGGCGGCCUGAUAAGUAGGGGGUGAAAUCCUGCGGCUUAACCGCAGGGCUGCCUUCUAAACUGUCAGGCUGGAGCACAGUAGAGGCAGGUGGAAUUCCCGGUGUAGCGGUGGAAUGCGUAGAGAUCGGGAAGAACAUCAGUGGCGAAGGCGGCCUGCUGGGCUGUUGCUGACGUUGAGGCGCGACAGCGUGGGGAGCAAACAGG